CCUACGGGAGGCAGCAGUGAGGAAUAUUGGUCAAUGGGCUUACGCCUGAACCAGCCAAGUCGCGUGAGGGAAGACUGCCCUAUGGGUUGUAAACCUCUUUUGUCAGGGAGCAACGCCGGCUACGUGUAGCCGGACUGAGAGUACCUGAAGAAAAAGCAUCGGCUAACUCCGUGCCAGCAGCCGCGGUAAUACGGAGGAUGCGAGCGUUAUCCGGAUUUAUUGGGUGUAAAGGGUGCGUAGGCGGAAUGCGAAGUCAGCGGUAAAAGCGCGGGGCUCAACCUCGCUCCGCCGUUGAUACUGGCGUUCUUGAGUGGGCGAGAGGUAUGCGGAAUGCGUGGUGUAGCGGUGAAAUGCAUAGAUAUAACGCAGAACUCCGAUUGCGAAGGCAGCAUACCGGCGCCCAACUGACGCUGAAGCACGAAAGCGUGGGUAUCGAACAGGAUUAGAUACCCUUGUAGUC
rnacentral:rRNA from 1 species